rnacentral:rRNA from 1 species
AGAGCGAACGCUGGCGGCAGGCCUAACACAUGCAAGUCGAGCGCCCGUAGCAAUACGGGAGCGGCAGACGGGAUAGUAACACGUGGGAACGCGCCCUUCGGUUCGGAAUAACUCAGGGAAACUUGAGCUAAUACCGGAUACGCCCUUACGGGGAAAGAUUUAUUGCCGAAGGAACGGCCCGCGUCCGAUUAGCUAGUUGGUGAGGUAAUGGCUCACCAAGGCUCCGAUCGGUAGCUGGUCUGAGAGGAUGACCAGCAUCACUGGGACUGAGACACGGCCCAGACUCCUACGGGAGGCAGCAGUGGGGAAUAUGGACAAUGGCGCAAGCCUGAUCCAGCCAUGCCGCGUGGAUGAUGAAGGCCUUAGGGUUGUAAAGUCCUUUUAACGGGGAAGAUAAUGACGGUACCCGUAGAAUAAGCCCCGGCUAACUUCGCGCCAGCAGCCGC